GUCACGUUAUUACUCGUCUUCCGCUACAUGCUCGCGCUAAACUAAUUUACAGGUUUAAACGACGUAGGUUGACGAUCAUCUUCAUCAUCAUUAUUAAGAAACUCUGUCCAUCCAGAAAUCCUGGUGUUUCCUGGAGGACAUACCCUCACUCCAUCCAGAAUGAAUCCGCUACACCUGUGUGUGAAAAGGUCACCUGACCACCCGUUGGCGAGUCAAGACCGAUCCCGCUGCCACACCAGAUUAUAGACAGACACUGCGGCCCCACCACAGUGUACAAGGCAGAGGUCAUGAUGGCGUCACUGUGGGAUCAGACUCAACGGGAGAGGAUGAUACCCUCAAUAAACCCGUCCAGGUGAAAGUUGUAAAAAUCCCGGGAAUGCUACAGCAGUGUGUUACGAGAACCAUCAGAGACAGAGAAAACCCUUUACGGGAGAAGCACGGAUCCAGAGCAGGUGCUCCGGGAGAUCCGGGAUCGUGCUAUCCUCGGGGCCCGUCAGCGGAUACGAGCCCUGGGCUGUGAAACCCAAUCAGGACGUCCUGGACAGAUGUGAUGGGUUAAAGUAGACAGGGUCACUGGUCCAUUACAAAAUAUGCACAUCUGUGAGAGUCGUCCAGUGAUGCAUCUAUUUGAUCAUCUAAAAUCAUUUGUCAUAAAAGGCACAACCUCAUUAUCUUGGCAGUUUAUUGUUUGAUUAGCAUAGCAUGUGGCAUAACAGCAGCAUAGCGUGUAGUCUCACUGUUUAAUCUCUAAUGACACACACCUGAGCAUCAAACAUACAGUUUAGGAUGCUCAAAUUGGUGUAAUGUUUAACUGGAAAAAGAAAGCAAAUGUUAUUUAGUUCAUUUAAAGUAUGUAGGAUGAAUGAGUUCUAGUUCUAGAAAUCCCUGUGCUGUUUGCAGUGUCCUUGGGAUUAAACAUACACUCCCCAUCAAUUGGAAGCUCACUUAAGAUGGCUGAAUACCCCGUGAAACCCAUUUUGUUGGCUCUAUCGAACCCCUUCUCUGAGAAACAGCUG
ensembl:lncRNA